rnacentral:tRNA from 1 species
GGCGAGGUAGCCAAGUGGUUAGGCAACGGUUUGCAAAACCGUCACACGCAAGUUCGAAUCUGGUCCUCGCCU